rnacentral:rRNA from 1 species
GAUCAUGGCUCAAAUUGAACGCUGGCGGCAUGCCUUCUUUUGCAAGUCGAACGGCAGCACGGGUGCUUGCACCUGGUGGCGAGUGGCGAACGGGUGAGUAAUAUAUCGAAACGUGCCCUGGAGUGGGGGAUAACUAGUCAAAAGAUUAGCUAAUACCGCAUACAAUCUACGGAUGAAAGUGGGGGAUCGCAAGACCUCAUGCUCGUGGAGCGGCCGAUAUCUGAUUAGCUAGUUGGUGGGGUAAAAGCCUACCAAGGCUACAAUCAGUAGCUGGUCUGAGAGGACGACCAGCCACACUGGGACUGAGACACGGCCCAAACUCCUACGGGAGGCAGCAGUGGGGAAUUUUGGACAAUGGGGGAAACCCUGAUCCAGCAAUGCCGCGUGUGUGAAGAAGGCCUUCGGGUUGUAAAGCACUUUUGUCAGGAACGAAACGGUGGGGGCUAAUACCUCCUGCUAAUGACGGUACCUGAAGAAUAAGCACCGGCUAACUACG